AUUGAACGCUGGCGGCAGGCCUAACACAUGCAAGUCGAACGAGUGGCGGACGGGUGAGUAAUGUCUGGGAAACUGCCCGAUGGAGGGGGAUAACUACUGGAAACGGUAGCUAAUACCGCAUACCAUCGGAUGUGCCCAGAUGGGAUUAGCUAGUAGGUGGGGUAACGGCUCACCUAGGCGACGAUCCCUAGCUGGUCUGAGAGGAAGACCAGCCGCACUGGAACGGAGAAACGGUCCAGACUCCUACGGUGGGCAGCAGUGGGGAAUAUUGCACAAGGGGCGCAAGCCUUAUGCAGCCAUGCCGCGGGUAUGAAGAAGGCCUGCGGGUUGUAAAGUACUUUCAGCGAGGAGGCGUUACUCGCAGAAGAAGCACCGGCUAACUCCGUGCCAGCGGCCGCGGUAAUAC
rnacentral:rRNA from 1 species